rnacentral:rRNA from 1 species
AUGAAAGAAUACUACUGCUAUAAAUUCCAUACACGACCAAGCAUAUUCAACCCAAUAUUGCACGGCGGACGGCUUUUUCAGCAGUUUGCUGUAGAUACAUACAUAAAGAUUGAAAACUCCAGACUGGAUUACAUGUGGCAUCAUCAAAACAAAAUAAGGGCGGAUCUAUACCAAGGCCUUCUAGACAGCAUUCAAGCUGGAGAACAGAAUGGAGAUGCAAUUGGAAAACGGAGAGUACUUGCGUCAUCAUUUAUUGGAGGGCCACGAGAUAAAAUUCGUCGGUAUCUAGAUGCUAUGGCUUUAGUUAGAAAAUAUGGAAAACCAGACGUAUUCGUCACAAUGACCUGCAACCCCAACUGGGAAGAGAUCACUACAGUUUGGACAAACACCACAAGAUCGCCCAGACAUUGUCGUUCGUGUUUUCAAGGCGAAGCUAGAAGAAAUGAAGAAGCAACUAUUUGA